GGUCCUACGGGGGGCAGCAGUGAGGAAUAUUGGUCAAUGGACGAGAGUCUGAACCAGCCAAGUAGCGUGAAGGAUGACUGCCCUAUGGGUUGUAAACUUCUUUUACAAAGGAAUCCAACGAGGCACGUGUGCCUUUUUGCAUGUACUUUAUGAAUAAGGAUCGGCUAACUCCGUGCUAGCAGCCGCGGUAAUACGGAGGAUCCGAGCGUUAUCACGAUUUAUUGGGUUUAAAGGGAGCGUAGAUGGGUUGUUAAGUCAGUUGUGAAAGUUUGCGGCUCAACCGUAAAAUUGCAAUU
rnacentral:rRNA from 1 species